rnacentral:lncRNA from 1 species
CAUGAAGCAACUUUUCUACAGAUAUAUAAAUAUGUCUAACGAGAACAUUCUGAAAAAUCUUAUUCCAUUAUACAAGGAGACCACUGGCCACACACAGGUUCCUGGUGAAUGAGGGAAGGACCGCAGAUGGAAGUUAUAAACCUGAGGUUGGACGGUGGAUGCAGGAGCAAGGCAAUGGGAAGGAAGUUUUAUGACCCUUUGGCCUAGAGCUCACCUGGACAUUGAGACAGCAAGCUGCAUAUUGUGAGGUGCUCUACGGAGAGUUCCACUUGGGGAGGAAUCCAGCAAACCGGAUGGAACUGAGGCCUUCAUAUCACAGCUCACGAGGAACUGAAUCCACUAACAACCAUGCGAUUGAGUGGGGCUCUUCCCAUUCAAGUCCAAAUGCAUGCAGCUUGGAGAGAGACAUGACUAAGGGAUGCCCAGAUUCCUGACUAAAACUGUGAGAUGAAAAACGUGUUGUUUAAAUCACUUAAGUUUUGGAGUAAUUUGUCCUGCAGCAAUAGAUCACGAAUGCGGUUAUUAUCACUGCCUUAAAAAGACUAAGCCUAACGAGCAGCAUGGCUUGCACAGCCCCGUUUAGUGUCCCUCUAACCUCCCUUUCUGGUCUCAUCUUUACCAGGAGGAACCUCGUUCUCUCCAUGCCAUUUUCUUUGUUCUUUUAGUUCGUCACAUAUGCCAUGCUCCAAAGAGCUCUAAGAGAGUAGGGUUUUCUUUAAAAUUGGUCAUGAUUAUUUCUCAGCUCUUAUCCACAGUAGGUGCUCAAUAAAUAUUUGUGGAAUGAAUGAACCUUGAAAUUCCGUGAAGAUCAAAUAUUUUCUUUUCUGAUCACUCCCUGCUUUUGAAGCAUGAAAAUAAUCACGGACAAAACAGCAUGUGUUUAAAAUAUACUUUUAAAGGGGCAAGUUAAAUAAUCUUAAUUUUAUCUCAAGUUAGAAUAUGAUGCCACUCAAGAAUAAUGGGCUGCAUACCUA